GAUGAACGCUGGCGGCGUGCCUAAUACAUGCAAGUCGAGCGAACAGACGAUGAGCUUGCUCCUCUGACGUUAGCGGCGGACGGGUGAGUAACACGUGUAUAACCUCCCUAUAAGACUGGGAUAACUUCGGGAAACCGGAUCUAAUACCGGAUAAUAUAUUGAACCGCAUGGUUCAAUAGUGAAAGACGGUUUUGCUGUCACUUAUAGAUGGAUCCGCGCCGCAUUAGCUAGUUGGUAAGGUAACGGCUUACCAAGGCAACGAUGCGUAGCCGACCUGAGAGGCUGAUCGGCGAAGCUGGAACUGAGACACGGUCCAGACUCCUACGGGAGGCAGCAGUAGGGAACCUUCGGCAAUGGGCGCAAGGCUGGUGGAGCAACGCGGAGUGAGUGAUGAAGGUCUUCGGAUCGUAAAGCUCUGUUAUGGGGGAAGAACAAAUGUGUAAGUAACUAUGCAGGGCUUGACGGUACCUAAUCAGAAAGCGACGGCUAACUACGUG
rnacentral:rRNA from 1 species